GACGAACGCUGGCGGCGUGCCUAAUACAUGCAAGUCGAACGGAGCGGCGGACGGGUGAGUAAUGCCUAGGAAUCUGCCUGGUAGUGGGGGAUCACGUCCGGAAACGGGCGCUAAUACCGCAUACUAUCAGAUGAGCCUAGGUCGGAUUAGCUAGUUGGUGGGGUAAAGGCCUACCAAGGCGACGAUCCGUAACUGGUCUGAGAGGAUGAUCAGUCACCCUGGACCUGAGGCACAGUCCUGACUCCGACGGGAGGCAUCAGUGGGGAAUAUUGGACAAUGGGCGAAAGCCUGAUUCAGACAUGCCGGGUGUAUUAAGAAGGCCGUAGGGUGGUAAAGUACUUUCAGAGGAGAGGCGUUACCCGCAGAAGAAGCACCGGCUAGCACCGUGCCAGCAGCCGCGGUAAUAC
rnacentral:rRNA from 1 species